rnacentral:rRNA from 1 species
AUUGAACGCUGGCGGCAGGCCUAACACAUGCAAGUCGAGCGAGCGGCGGACGGGUGCGUACUGUAUGGGGACUGCCCGAUAGAGGGGGAUAACUACUGGAAACGGUAGCUAAUACCGCAUACUAUCGGAUAACCCAUAGGGGAUUAGCUAGUAGGUGAGGUAAUGGCGCACCUAGGCGACGAUCCCUAGCUGGUCUGAGAGGAUGAUCAGCCACACUGGGACUGAGACACGGCCAAGACUCCUACGGAGGCAGCAGUAGGGAAUAUUGCGCAAUGGGCGCAAGCCUGAUGGAGCCAUGCCGCGUGUGUGAAGAAGGCCCUAGGAUUGUAAAGUACUUUCAGUCGGGAGGCGUUACCGACAGAAGAAGCACCGGCUAACUCCGUGCCAGCAGCCGCGGUAAUUC